rnacentral:rRNA from 1 species
GACGAACGCUGGCGGCGUGCCUAAUACAUGCAAGUAGAACGCUGAAGGAGGAGCUUGCUUCUCUGGAUGAGUUGCGAACGGGUGAGUAACGCGUAGGUAACCUGCCUGGUAGCGGGGGAUAACUAUUGGAAACGAUAGCUAAUACCGCAUAAUAGCAGUUGUUGCAUGACAACUGUUUGAAAGGUGCAAUUGCACCACUACCAGAUGGACCUGCGUUGUAUUAGCUAGUUGGUGGGGUAACGGCUCACCAAGGCGACGAUCCAUAGCCGACCUGAGAGGGUGAUCGGCCACACUGGGACUGAGACACGGCCCAGACUCCUACGGGAGGCAGCAGUAGGGAAUCUUCGGCAAUGGACGGAAGUCUGACCGAGCAACGCCGCGUGAGUGAAGAAGGGUUUCGGAUCGUAAAGCUCUGUUGUAAGAGAAGAACGAGUGUGAGAGUGGAAAGUUCACACUGUGACGGUAUCUUACCAGAAAGGGACGGCUAACUACGUG